CUUCGGAGCGAGCGCUGCCAUCUUGCCUUACGGCCCUGUGGAGCUGAGUGCGAGGAAGCCACUUCCGGCCUCGCCCAGGAAGUUGGAAGCGCGCCGGAAGUGGACUGAGGGGACUUCCGGCGCGCCAGCCGGGAGGAGCUCGCGCCCGGCCUCUGGCGGACUUGGGAGGUGGUUGAGCCGUCGUUUUCCACUAGUGUCCGUCCUCGCUGCGGCCCGAAUCCGCCCUCUGGUCCCGUGCAGUACCCCGGCCCCUCGCAGCCUUGCCCACGCUCCCUCCCUGCGCAGCUGGCCCUUUGCAGUCAUGACUCUGGCACGGAUCGGGACUGCAUUUGGCGGGAAGCUCCUGGGUGGACACCUGUAACCCGACGGCCCUGACGGCUUCCUGCAGUUCAGCAGCCUUCCUGCUGCGUGCACCGGCCUCUCCCCGGGCUGCCCCCCUCAGAGGCCUCUCCCUGGGCUGCCCCCCUCAGAGGCCAGGCGCCAGGUCAUCGUGUACAGAUGGUGCUGGGAUUCCAAGCAGCUUUUCUGUUGGGCUCGGAUAACAUGUCAUGCGAAGAGGUUGGGCGCUGCACUGCUUGUUUUACUGAGGCCUCGACAUCACGAAGGAAGGCUCUUUUCUGGAGCAUCACUCUCCAGUGGACCUUUCUGCAACGAUGCGAGUGUUCUGUCGGCUCUGCACCAUACGGCUGCCAGUGGCUGCAUGUAGCCAUUGAGCACCGGAGAUGGAGCUGGGAUUAAGGAACUGUAUUUCAAUUUAAUUCUUCUUUAAGUAGCCACAUGUGGCCAGUGAUUUCAUUGUUGGACAGCACAGCUCUAGAACAUGCCUUUCCUAUCAUCUCCAAUGGAUGUUGGAUUUUUAUAUCUUUGAUACAAAAUAGAUAUCUCUCAAUCUCCACUGUCA